rnacentral:lncRNA from 1 species
GAGCCGUCGCUUCGAUGGGCGCCGCCAUGUUUGCCAUGCAAAGCUUUUGGGGCCGCUAUUGGGGCUCCCACUAAAUCGGUGAAAUAGCGUGCCCGACGCAAAACCCAUGCGCAGUGGCGU